rnacentral:lncRNA from 1 species
AGGCUCACUUCGUGUAUUCCCCUGUUUUUUUUUAUUCUUUUCUCUUUUCCCUUUUUUUUUUAACAUUUUUUGGAUUUUCUUUUUCUAGUUUUGUUUCUUUUUUUAUGCGUUUUUUUUCUUUUUUUUUUUGGUCAUUUUAUAUAUAUUUUUUCUUUUUCUUUUCUUUUCAAUGAUUUCUUCUUUUUUUACUGUUUUUCUAUUGCAUUUUUUUUAUUAAUUUUACUGUUUUUCUUUUGCAUUAUUUUAUAUAUUUUGUUUUUUUAUUCUUUCGGUAUUUUCUUUAUUUUUCGUUUGUUUUUUUAUUUACUAUUUUUCUUUUUCUUUUAUAUAUAUAUAUAUUUGUGAAAAAAUGUAAUAUUUUUAAAAUAGUACAUUUAUUCAUAACAAUAAUUACUUUUUAUAACGACAAUAAUUACUUGAGGAAAAUAACUAAAAGUAUAAGUUCUUGUGAGUAAAAAUAGCAAUUAUCGUGAACAAAUGUUUCAAAAUUAUUACAUUUGUUUAUG